GGCCCCGUAGCGCAGAGGCAGUCGCAUCCCCUUGGCAUGGGGGACCACGCCGGUUCGAAUCCGGUCGGGACCA
rnacentral:tRNA from 1 species